rnacentral:other from 1 species
AGCGGGCGGGUCGCUCGCUUGGAGGCCCAAAGUUCAUCCUACAUCUUGUUCAACCAGGGAGCCGCCCCUGCUCGUGGGCGUGCAGGCUCGUUCGACGAGAAGCCCGAAGCGACUAUCGUGGCACCCACCUAUUUCGUGUAGGGGUUGAACUUAUGGCCGUCCGCAGCGACCCGUUCGCGU